rnacentral:rRNA from 1 species
AGCAGCCGCGGUAAUUCCAGCUCCAAUAGCGUAUAUUAAAGUUGUUGCAGUUAAAAAGCUCGUAGUUGAAUUUCGGGAUCAGUACGCUGGUCAUGCCUUUGGUAUGCACUGGUGUCACUGGUUUCUCCCUUCUGAAGAUCCGUGAUGUCAUUAAUUUGGUGUCGCGGGGAAUCAGGACUGUUACUUUGAAAAAUUAGAGUGUUUAAAGCAGGCUCACGCUUGAAUACAUUAGCAUGGAAUAAUGAAAUAGGACGUUUGACCCUAUUUUGUUGGUUUCUAGGAUCGACGUAAUGAUUAAUAGGGAUAGUUGGGGGCAUUAGUAUUCAAUUGUCAGAGGUGAAAUUCUUGGAUUUAUUGAAGACUAACUACUGCGAAAGCAUUUGCCAAGGAUGUUUUCAUUAAUCAAGAACGAAAGUUAGGGGAUCGAAGACGAUCAGAUACCGUCGUAGUCUUAACCAUAAACUAUGCCGACUAGGGAUCGGAUGAUGUUAAUUUUAUAAUGACUC